GGAAGUAAAAGUCGUAACAAGGUUUCCGUAGGUGAACCUGCGGAAGGAUCAUUACCAAAUCCAAAUCUCAACCCCAUGUGAACUGUUGUUUGUCUGUCUUUGGGGGUGGCGAUGUGUGAGACACCUCUCUUGCAUUUGCCGCCCCCAAUAGAAUCCGGCACUCCGGUGCCUGGGUUCUAUACUGACUAAACCACUUUUCAAACUUUGUUGGAAUAUCUUUUAUUAAUACUAAUAAAAGACAACUUUUAACGGUGGAUCUCUUGGCUCGUGGAUCGAUGAAGAACGCAGCAAACUGCGAUACGUAGUGUGAAUUGCAGAAUUCAGUGAAUCAUCGAAUCUUUGAACGCAAAUUGCGCUGCCGGGUAUUCCUGACAGCAUGCUUGGCUGAGUAUCAUCUGGACAAAUCACACAUCUUUUUGUGUGGAAAUGAGGCGUCACAUCUCUCACGGGGAUGGGUCCCUUUAAAUGCAGGCAGGUGAAGGAUAUUGGCGUCCUUGAACCACUAGCGUGGCAAUUGUCCUCUGGGCAUCAAGCGCUAUGUCGGGGCUUGGGCAACAAAGCCGGUGUCUCUAAUCCUCUCAUACAACUCUUGAUUGAAACUUUGAUCUCAGCUCAAGUAAGACUACCCGCUGAAUUUAAGCAUAUCAAUAAGCGGAGG
rnacentral:rRNA from 1 species